GUAGCAAGAGGCAUGGAGCAAGAGAGGAAAAUGCACAACAGCAAUUGUAUGUCUUUUUAUUGAAACAUCAAGAAAAAAGCCACAAGCACCAGAACAACAUCCAGUAGUGUUAUAAAGCAAGAGACCAAAGAAUACACACCUCCUAGCAAUUCCAGCAUUUCUAGAUGAUACGUUGCAGUUUCAUCUUUUAGACAACCAGACAAUUAUCGUCUGACUGUAUCAAAAUACACCUCUAAAGCUAAAAAGAGGAAUCUUCGUGUGAAUCUUGUGUCCAUAUGUGGAUCUACAAAGCAACCUUCUCUGUUAACCUAGGAGAAGAUCAUGACAAGCAAGUGCCCUCAGAUGCAGGCAGGAACAGAGCUUGUGGACCUAGCCACCUUCAUCGCAGGCAGAACUUUGUAAUUUCUGACAAAAUAUCUUAUUUCAGUGUGGUAUCUUCAGGAGAACCUCCCAGUCUGCCACACCAGACACAGCAAAGCAAAGCGUGGCAGCAGCUCCAAAAACAAGCUCAGCAGGCUACCAUCAUUCAGGCUGCAUGGAGAGGCUAUCGAGUCCGAAGAGAGCUGGAUGAAAUGAACAAAGCUGCUGUCAAGAUUCAGGCAGCUUACCGAGGCUACCGGACGCGGCAGGAGUUGCCCCUUGGCUUUUAUGAUUGCUUUGGGGAUAAAAAGCCUGUAUUAGAUCAGACGAAGAAAGAAGAAGAGAGGACGGUGUCUCUCCCUGGAGUGUCUGGAGCCUUGGAGUGCUACACGUUCCUUGAUGAUGGAUGGUGCCUGAGGGUGCUGAGCCCCAUGCUGGACCAAAAACAUGCUGGGAAGCACCGGGAAGCCUGCACACCCCCGACUAGGAUGAGACUGAUUUGCCUAUGA
rnacentral:lncRNA from 1 species